rnacentral:rRNA from 1 species
GAAAAAACCUUUUACCGGGAAAGAUAAUGACGGUACCGGAAGAAUAAGCACCGGCUAACUCCGUGCCAGCAGCCGCGGUAAUACGGAGGGUGCAAGCGUUAUCCGGAAUUAUUGGGCGUAAAGGGUGCGUAGGCGGCUUGUUAAGUCAGGGGUGAAAUCCCGGGGCUCAACCCCGGAACUGCCUUUGAUACUGGCAGUCUAGAGUACGGUAGAGGUAAGUGGAAUUCCUCAGUGUAGCGGUGAAAUCCGUAGAUAUCAGGAGGAACACCAAUGGCGAAGGCA